rnacentral:lncRNA from 1 species
CUCUCGCUCGCAGGAUUAGCGCAGUGGGAGGAGGCAGAGGUGAUCAGGUCCUGCCCGGCCUGGGACUUUUUGUCUUGAGGUGGGGAGGGGAGAAAUGGGAAGAGGUGGAGUAGCGGUUUUAGCCCGCUCUGCGGCUGCGAGGUUUAGAUCCGAGAUUAACCUCUCCCGCGAUAGGUGAAGCCCUACCGGAGCAGAAAGCUGUUCCACCUGCACCAAGAAUGCGCGCUGGAGACGGUUGCCCCGGAGGCCCUGGCCCGAGAGAAAACCAGUCCCCGCUGCCCGCGCCUCCCGGUAGCGCGCUCCCUGCGCCUCUCCCGCCGGACACUCAGCAGACGCCGGAGGCCGGGAGGCUAAGACUGGGCGCGUCGCAGGCCGGGACCGCGGCAGAGGCUGCUGUGCCGACCGAGGAGAGGGCUCUGCCGCCCCCACUUGCCCUGGGUGUCGAGAGCCCACUCCAGACGCGGCUCUUCUGAGGCUCAAUUCAAGCCACCCAGGCCUGAAUCCAGGGUGCUCUCUCUAAGUCGGUGUCCAACCCAGGGGCCUGUAAAUGUUGGAACCUAGGAUGUAGGAUGGGAGCGGUGAAGGGAUGGUCCUCUUGCCCAGCCCAGAUUAAGACUGGGGUUCAUCUGGAGGACUCUACUUACACCCUCCCGGUCCCCUCGCCCUCCCCCACACACAGCUGCCUCUCCCCAGGAUAUGCGCGGCACAGUGAAUUUAGUGGCUUUGAAAGGUAUAGUAUUUGUGGCAUCCUUAUAUGGAUAAUGCCCAAUGAUGCCUGCACCCUGUAACAGUUUAGGAAGGCCUGAAGUCGCACACUGGGUCCUGGCUGCUGUAACUGGAGACCCCCAGAAGAUCCCCUGCAAGCAGCCACCAGCCUGCUGUCAAGCCAAUAAUAAAAGCUCAGCACAAACAGGUACCCUGGGAAUGUAUCUUGUUGAAAGGGAUUUUCCUUAUUUGUAACCGUUUGUAAAGGGGCCCAGACAGUAGGGUAGAGAGACCUGGGCAAGUUAUUCAACUUCUUUCCAAAUACAAGAUGGGACUUGUAGUGUCCACCACACAGGGUUGUAAUGGUGAUGAUGGACAUGCUGAACUGCUGUGAUACAUGAAGAUGAAACAGAAAAACUGUGGGAACUAUGAGCUGAUCUAAAGCCAUAGUCCUGUAAGUAUGUAUGUGGUGUACUUUAAGGUCUCACCUGCAAAAGGUCUCUUAGCAGAUUCAUGAAUGAGAGCCUUGGUCACACACUCCUGGCUGAGUAAAGGAGAUCAUUCAUUCAAGAUGUUUUUACUGAGCACGAACUGUGUACUACUUAGUGCAUUGUUGAACUAGACUUCAACAAUUUUAACAAGGCAGGUUCAACAAUUUGAACACGACUGACUUCAACAAUUUAGUGAAAAGGGCAGAAAUGUGUCUCCCCUCACACAGCAGGUAGUCAACAAGGAAAGGC